CACAUAAUGAGAUUAGACAACUUGAAGAAAACAUUUUGGGAAUAAAUUUAGAAAUUAUAGGAAAGGUACACAAUCCUCAGAAAAUAGAAACAGGCAAAACUGAUUUAAAAAAUCAGAAGAAACUUGACUUGUGCUUUUAACUGUUUAUUUCUGUGAGGGUGAACGAGAAGAAUGCUGGUCAUACAGGUUCCAAUACUGUUCCCAUUUGUCCUUUGUCCCAUUAGAAUAGCCACUACCUCUGGCUACUGCAGAUGCCUUUCUUCUAUCAAGGAAUAAGACACUGUUUCUGCCCAAGAAUAGGUUCUCUAUUGCUGAGUGCCAUGUUCUGGGAACACCUGGGGCUCAGCAGACUUCCUCUGCCCACAAAGCCACAAGUGUCUAGGCUUUGAAGGGACCAGCUCCCCAUUUCGGCAGCCAUAACAGCUGAACAUAUUGCUUGUCUGAACUUGUCUUAGUCACCAAGAGGUCAGAUGCCUGUCUUGUGGGAAGGAACCAAUCAGAAGUUAGCUGGUAGUGCUAUGCUUUACGGCUCUGGGUGUGCUUUAUGGACAAGUGCACAGCAAUGACAUGCAGAGCAUAGCAACCACCCUGGGAGGGCCUAUGGGCCAUAACAACCUGUUGACCAAUCAACAUAGGGCAAACCCUCCAAGCCAGGAGGCACACCAAUCCUGAGUCUGUGCAUACCCCUAGACACUCGAAUGGAGAUGCUCCGAGUGGUCUUUCCUAGCCAUCCGCCAUGGUGGAUGGAUGGAAGGCCCGAGCUAUCAUGGGGUUAGCUCGUUAAACAACAAUAAAGCCUCAUGCAGUUUGCAACAAGCUUUCGAAUCUGCCUGGUGAUUGGGGUGACCAAGGUCCUGGGCUGAGAUCCCGGAGGCCUGGGCUUUCUGGGAGGUCUUACAGCUUCCUCAGUCUCGAGAGGUCUCUUUUGGAUGUAGAGUGGGCUGCUUCCAAGGGCAUCCGUGGAAAGUUACUUCCAUGUGGUGAUGGAGAAGCACAAGAAGCUUUGACCUAGACUGUACUCUGUGCUCUGAGCUGAUUUACUUCUCAGAGGCAUGUUCUGAACCAGAGCCAACCUGAGUGCAGGUCAGAGUCCUCUUUCCAUGCUGCUUCUGCGUGGCCAGCAUCUUCUUCAGAAAAUCUAGGACAUACACCCUGCUGGGAAGUAGACCCAAGCUUCCUGUGGGUUGUGUUGAUUCAGAUUGGUCAUCUGGAGUUGGCCAGAAUUAACAGUUGGAAUGGAAUACUGCUGCUUUGGUUGGGGUCUCUGCUGGCAGCAGUCUGUGGUGUGUGGUGUUCAUUGUGUUGUUAUGUUCUUUUUAUACACUAUCAAUGCAUUAAGUGUGUGGCUGCAUAGAAAGAGUUGAUGUCAAGUGGCAGCCGAAAUCCAGGGUAAAGGUGGUUCCCUUCAAGCUGAUCUGGUAUCUCACUUGGGGAGGAGAGAACUCAGAUCCAGGUCAGCAGGCAAAAGGUUUGUGGGCAGGAGAACAUGGGCCAAGGAAGGCUGCUGAGUCCAGGAAGUGUCCCUGCUUUAUUAUUCAUGAGUCCUGCUGCUUCUGAGAACAUUCUGUACCCUGUUACAAAGUUGGCUUAGUACAGAUUCCAAAGUCAUUUUUUUUUAAUCAUGCAGAAUCUCAUUUUUAGAGUAGGCAGAUAAGUAAGUUGAUAGUUAAACAUUUGUAAACCAAUACAUUCCAGCAAAAUCCGCCCAUUGGCCGUGUGGCCAAAGGACACCACAGUGCUUUGUUCAGUGGAGAAAAAAAUGUUCUCAAGCUUUCUGGAAAAAAUAUACUCACUCAUUUCUUCCUUUAUUCAAGAAAUAAUGGUUGCGUGCCUACUGUGUGCAUUAUGCUAUUCUGAGAACGCAGAGAGCUGAGAACAGACAGGGAAGCUCCUGCUGCCAUAGUGCUGACAUUCUGGAUGGGUUGACAGAAAAUGGACCAACAAAGAAACUCUAGAUUGUGACGAUGAUAGAAAGAAUCCUAACAGAGUGGCAGAACAGGCUAUGAGUGGGAGCAAGUGAGUGGGCACAAACCAAGUCUCUGUGAGGAUAUGUCACUGGAACUUACUCCUGAAGGGUGACAGCCAACACAAUGGAAAGAAGCCUUCUUGGGUGUCAGGAGACCUGGAGUAGCAAGCACUGUCCUUAUGGCAUGCGGUCUCCAUCUCUGGGGUCUCCUUUCUCUCUAAUCACCUUCCAUUC
rnacentral:lncRNA from 1 species